rnacentral:tRNA from 1 species
UGGGGCCAUAGCUCAGUUGGGAGAGCGCUUGCAUGGCAUGCAAGAAGUCGUGGGUUCGAAUCCCAUUGGCUCCAU